GUUUGCUUCGGCAGCACAUCUACUAAAAUUGGAGCGAUACAAAGAAGAUUAGCAUGGCCCCUGCGUAAGGAUAACAUGUGAAUUUAUGAAGCAUUCCAUAUUUUU